GAGGGUAUAGUUCAGCGGUAGAGUGUCCGCUUAGCAUGCACAAGGUCCUGGGUUCAAUCCCCAGAACCUCCA
rnacentral:tRNA from 1 species